rnacentral:rRNA from 1 species
AUACGUAGGGGGCAAGCGUUGUCCGGAAUUAGGGGGCGUAAAGCGCAUGUAGGCGGUUUGGUGAGUCGGUCGUGAAAAUACGGUGCUUAACGGCGUAUGGCGAUUGAAACUGCUGAACUUGAGUGCGGGGGAGGAAAGGGGAAUUCCCAGUGUAGCGGGAAAAGGCGUAGAUAUUGGGAAGAACACCGGUGGCGAAGGCGCCUUUCUGGACUGUGUCUGACGCUCAGAUGCGAAAGCCAGGGUAGCGAACGGGAUUAGAUACCCCGGUAGUCCUGGCCGUAAACGAUGGGUACUAGGUGUGGGAGGUAUCGACUCCUUCCGUGCCGGAGUUAACGCAAUAAGUACCCCGCCUGGGGAGUACGGCCGCAAGGCUUAAACUCAAAGGAAUUGACGGGG